UGGGGAAUUUUCCGCAAUGGGCGAAAGCCUGACGGAGCAACGCCGCGUGAGGGAUGAAGGCCUCUGGGCUGUAAACCUCUUUUAUCAAGGAAGAAGAUCUGACGGUACUUGAUGAAUAAGCCACGGCUAAUUCCGUGCCAGCAGCCGCGGUAAUACGGGAGUGGCAAGCGUUAUCCGGAAUUAUUGGGCGUAAAGCGUCCGCAGGCGGUCUUGUAAUUCGGCCUUUAAACCUGGAACUUUACUUCCUUUUCGCCAAGGGAAAUGGGAGGAUUGAAUGGGGGAAGGGGCAAAGGGAAUUCCGGGGGUACGGGGAAAUGGCGUAAAUAUCGGAAAAAACACCAUGGGCAAAGGCCUCCUGCUGGGCCUUGAUGGACCCUCUGGGACAAAACCCGGGGGAGCGAAGGGAAUUAAAUACCCCGGUAUCC
rnacentral:rRNA from 1 species